rnacentral:lncRNA from 1 species
GAAAAUAAAAUAAAACAAAAGUAAAAACAAGUCCUAUUAUUUAGUCGCCCGAACGAAAUUGGGUGUUGACAGCUGCCCCUCUUUACUUAGAUUUUACUGGAUAAUAUGAAAAUGUGAUAUUUACAUAUUAUCUAAGUAAAAGUUAAGUAAAGAUAGAAACACUAAUUUCGUCUGGGUUUCAAACACGAAAGAAAGCGAACGAAAAUGAAACAAGUCAUAACCAAAAGACUCGUGCCAAGCAGAGGCCCCAAAAUCACAGAACAGAAUUUUAAAUCUGACCAUUGCCACGCAGAGGGCCGAUAACAGAAAACUAAAACCUGCAUUUGACCAUUGCCUCGCAGAGGGCCAAACUCACAGAACAGAAAAUUUAAAUUCGACCAUUGCCACGCAGAGGGCCGAUAACAGAAAACUAAAACCUGGAUUUGACCAUUGCCUCGCAGAGGGCCAAACUCACAUAACAGAAAUUUAAAUCUGACCAUUGCCACGCAGAGGGUCGAUAACAGAAAACUAAAACCUGGAUUUGACCAUUGCCUCGCAGAGGGCCAAACUCAUAGAACAGAAAUUUAAAUCUGACCAUUGCCACGUAGAGGGUCGAUAACAGAAAACUAAAACCUGGAUUUGACCAUUGCCUCGCAGAGGGCCAAACUCGCAGAACAGAAAUUUAAAUCUUACCAUUGCCACGCAGAGGGUCGAUAACAGAAAACUAAAACCUGGAUUUGACCAUUGCCUCGCAGAG